CCGCACAAGCGGUGGAGCAUGUGGUUUAAUUCGAAGCAACGCGCAGAACCUUACCAGGUCUUGACAUCCACGGAACCCUGGUGAAAGCCGGGGGUGCCCGCAAGGGAGCCGUGAGACAGGUGCUGCAUGGUCGUCGUCAGCUCGUGUCGUGAGAUGUUGGGUUAAGUCCCGCAACGAGCGCAACCCUUGUUGCUAGUUGCCAUCAGUUCGGCUGGGCACUCUAGCGAGACUGCCUACGAAAGUAGGAGGAAGGCGGGGAUGACGUCUGAUCCGCAUGGCCCUUACGACCUGGGCGACACACGUGCUACAAUGCCUGCCACAAAGCGCUGCGACCCGGCAACGGGAAGCCAAUCGCAUAAAAGCAGGCUCAGUUCGGAUUGGGGUCUGCAACUCGACCCCAUGAAGCUGGAAUCGCUAGUAAUCGCGGAUCAGCCAUGCCGCGGUGAAUACGUUCCCGGGCCUUGUACACACCGCCCGUCAAGCCAUGGGAGUGGGUUUUGCCUGAAGUCGCCGGGAGCCACAGGCAGGCGCCUAGGGUAAGGCUCAUGACUGGGGCUAAGUCGUAACAAGGUAACC
rnacentral:rRNA from 1 species